UUAGAGUUUGAUCAUGGCUCAGGAUUAACGCUAGCGGCAUGCCUAAUACAUGCAAGUCAAUCGAAAGUAGCAAUACUUUAGUGGCGAACGGGUGAGUAACACGUAUCUAACCUACCAUUUAGUGAGGAAUAACUGUUGGAAACGACAGCUAAUACCGCAUAUGUUAUUUAUUUGCAAUGAUAAAUAAUGAAAGGAGCAUUUACUUCGCUAAUUGAUGGGGAUGCGGCGCAUUAACUAGUUGGUAAGGUAAUGGCUUACCAAGGUAACGAUGCGUAGCCGAUCUGAGAGGAUGAACGGCCACAUUGGGAAUGAGACACGGCCCAAACUUCUACGGAAGGCAGCAGUAGGGAAUUUUUCACAAUGGGCGAAAGCCUGAUGGAGCAAUGCCGCGUGACUGAUGAAGGUCUUCGGAUUGUAAARGUCUGUUGUAAGAGAAGAAGUGCUAGAAUAGGAAAUGAUUUUAGUAUCGACCAUACCUUACCAGAAA
rnacentral:rRNA from 1 species